AUUGAACGCUGGCGGCAGGCCUAACACAUGCAAGUCGAACGGUAACAGGAAGCAGCUUGCUGCUUUGCUGACGAGUGGCGGACGGGUGAGUAAUGUCUGGGAAACUGCCUGAUGGAGGGGGAUAACUACUGGAAACGGUAGCUACUACCGCAUAACGUCGCAAGACCAAAGAGGGGGACCUUAGGGCCUCUUGCCAUCGGAUGUGCCCAGAUGGGAUUAGCUAGUAGGUGGGGUAACGGCUCACCUAGGCGACGAGCCCUAGCUGGUCUGAGAGGAUGACCAGCCACACUGGAACGGAGACACGGUCCAGACUCCUACGGGAGGCAGCAGUGGGGAAUAUUGCACAAUGGGCGCAAGCCUGAUGCAGCCAUGCCGCGUGUAUGAAGAAGGCCUUCGGGUUGUAAAGUACUUUCAGCGGGGAGGAAGGGAGUACAGUUAAUACCUUGGCUCAUUGACGUUACCCGCAGAAGAAGCACCGGCUAACUCCGUG
rnacentral:rRNA from 1 species